rnacentral:rRNA from 1 species
GAUGAACGCUGGCGGCGUGCCUAAUACAUGCAAGUCGAGCGAACAGAUAAGGAGCUUGCUCCUUUGACGUUAGCGGCGGACGGGUGAGUAACACGUGGAUAACCUACCUAUAAGACUGGGAUAACUUCGGGAAACCGGAGCUAAUACCGGAUAACAUAUUGAACCGCAUGGUUCAAUAGUGAAAGGCGUCUUUGCUGUCACUUAUAGAUGGAUCCGCGCCGUAUUAGCUAGUUGGUAAGGUAACGGCUUACCAAGGCAACGAUACGUAGCCGACCUGAGAGGGUGAUCGGCCACACUGGAACUGAGACACGGUCCACACUCCUACGGGAGGCAGCAGUAGGGAAUCUUCCGAAAUGGGCGAAAGCCUGACGGAGGAACGCCGCGUGAGUGAUGAAGGUCUUCGGAUCGGAAAACAGUGUUAUCAGGGAAGAACAAAUGUGUAAGUAACUGUGCACAUCUUGACGGUACCUGAUCAGAAAGCCACGGCUAACUACGUG